rnacentral:lncRNA from 1 species
AAAAUUGGAAGGAAAUGCAUUGCAUGAUGGAUUUAACAUUAUCAAGUUGAUUAUAUAGCGAGCUGACAAACACUGUGAGUGUAGAAAAUAUGUAGUAAUUAAUGAAAGAAGUCUAAACACACCAUAAUCAUUUAUAUAUAAUGAAUUAGUACAAUAUUUUACACUUUAUACAUUGCAUGGUAAGAUACAUGAGUGACUUAGUACCAUAUAGAGUUCCUAUGAGGUUCAAAUUUUUCACUAUCUUCAUCAUCUCUAUGUGUAGAGUGAGUGUAUUGUGAAG